rnacentral:rRNA from 1 species
AUUGAACGCUGGCGGCAGGCUUAACACAUGCAAGUCGAGCGGGGUGAUGGUGCUUGCACUAUCACUUAGCGGCGGACGGGUGAGUAAUGCUUAGGAAUCUGCCUAUUAGUGGGGGACAACAUCUCGAAAGGGAUGCUAAUACCGCAUACGUCCUACGGGAGAAAGCAGGGGAUCACUUGUGACCUUGCGCUAAUAGAUGAGCCUAAGUCGGAUUAGCUAGUUGGUGGGGUAAAGGCCUACCAAGGCGACGAUCUGUAGCGGGUCUGAGAGGAUGAUCCGCCACACUGGGACUGAGACACGGCCCAGACUCCUACGGGAGGCAGCAGUGGGGAAUAUUGGACAAUGGGGGAACCCUGAUCCAGCCAUGCCGCGUGUGUGAAGAAGGCCUUAUGGUUGUAAAGCACUUUAAGCGGGGAGGAGGCUCUUUUGGUUAAUACCCAAGAUGAGUGGACGUUACUCGCAGAAUAAGCACCGGCUAACUCUGUGCCAGCAGCCGCGGUAA